GUGGGGAAUCUUGCGCAAUGGGCGAAAGCCUGACGCAGCCAUGCCGCGUGAAUGAUGAAGGUCUUAGGAUUGUAAAAUUCUUUCACCGGGGACGAUAAUGACGGUACCCGGAGAAGAAGCUCCGGCUAACUUCGUGCCAGCAGCCGCGGUAAUACGAAGGGGGCUAGCGUUGCUCGGAAUUACUGGGCGUAAAGGGCGCGUAGGCGGACAGCUUAGUCAGAGGUGAAAGCCCAGGGCUCAACCUUGGAAUUGCCUUUGAUACUGGCUGUCUUGAGUGUGGGAGAGGUGAGUGGAACUCCGAGUGUAGAGGUGAAAUUCGUAGAUAUUCGGAAGAACACCAGUGGCGAAGGCGACUCACUGGCCCAAUACUGACGCUGAGGCACGAAAGCGUGGGGAGCAAACAGGAUUAGAUACCCGUGUAGUCC
rnacentral:rRNA from 1 species